ensembl:misc_RNA Metazoa_SRP Metazoan signal recognition particle RNA
GCCAGGCAUGGUGGCGCACGCCUGUAAUCCCAGCUACUUGGGAGGCUGAGGCAGGAGAAUUGCUUGAGCCUGGGAGGUGGAGGUUGCAGUGAGCCUAGAUCAUGCCACUGCACUCCAGCCUGGGCAACAGAGUGAGACUCUGUCUAAA